UGUUUCUAGGGUGUUUCAUAAAGCACAUUAGAUUUUCAUUCUAAAGGUAUAAAUUGAUUUUAUUAGAAAUAUC
rnacentral:tRNA from 1 species